rnacentral:lncRNA from 1 species
CCUAAAUUCACUUCUUGGUGCCAGCUCCUAAUUGUGGGGAUCUUUGAUGAUCUGGGCCCUCUGACUGAGUCCUGGGACCCCAAGGGGGCGCUAGUCUUGUACUUGUCAUCCUAUGUUACCUUCUUUCUGCUUUGCUUCUUCCUUCUGCCUUGCCAGACCAUUGCCCACCUAUGAAUGAACAUUCUCAUCUACUGUAAGCAGAGCACAAAACAGAAAUCCAAGUGUCAUAGUCUCUAGGUGCUGAAUAUGCAGUGUGGAAUAAUGGAGUAUUCCUAUUUUCGUAGAUUUUACAUGAUCGUGAAGAAAGCAAAAACUGACACAUACUUAUGUAAUAAUGAUAUCAAGGUUAUGAAGCAAAAAAAAUUGAAUAAGGCAGUGGAGAAUAUACGACAAGAGAAAGAAGCCAUCUGAGAAGCUGACUCCCUGCCCCAGUCAAGCCUUCAGAUGACUGUAGCCCCUGGCAAUAUCUUGGGGGCAAUGGAAGGAGACACCCUGAACCAAUCCACACAGAGAAGCUGACCCUGGAUUCCUGAGCUGGAGAGGCUGCUGCCAUGAAGUGAAAAAUCUACUCUGCCACACACAUUCCUACUGCCAUAAUGCACUGUGCCAUCACAGACACAAAGCAACUGGGCCAAGUGUCAUUGGAAUGCAACUGGUUUGAGCAAGGAAAUUCUAUGGAAGGAUCUGAAGAACUGGAUUGAUCGGCCCUUUGCUGUCUAUCCCCACGUAAGAAGAGAACUGCAAGUGCCAAGGCUCAGAAAUGUUCAAGAGUCGGCAUCCUCUGAGGUAUGGUGAGAAAAAGGUUCUUGAGUGAGGAGCAGAGGGUGCCAUGGCCAGGGGCAUGGAGCAAUCCCAGGUUCCAAUCCCAGGUCUGUAUUUACUAGCUUUAUAACCUGGGAGGAGUUUGGGUAAGUCUUUGAGCUUUUCUUUCCUUAUCUAGAAAAAGGGACAUAACAGUACCUACCUUAGAAGAUUUCUUUCAAUACAGCAUUAGUUCCUAUCUCCUUAGGAAAGCUCACCCUCUUAGCGCGGGUCUCUUCUCCAUGGAUCCACCUAAUCCCUUGUUGAAUACGAAGGGUCAGGAGAGAUUCACUGGAGAAGGGAGAAGAUGGUGGGAGGGAGGGUCAUAGGGGGCAAAGUUAAAAGAAGAGUUGAGUGGGAGUCUGGGUCUCAGAAACAUGUCUCAGAUACCAGUCAGAGAAACAUAAGAGGCCCAAGCUUAUUACUUGCUCAGCAUCAGGCACGUGGCUUCUAAUGCUAUAUUUAAAACGCUACUGAAAUUAUGAUCCUGUUGUAG